rnacentral:rRNA from 1 species
CCUACGGGAGGCAGCAGUGGGGAAUAUUGGACAAUGGGGGCAACCCUGAUCCAGCAAUUCCGCGUGUGUGAAGAAGGCCUGCGGGUUGUAAAGCACUUUCAGUAGCCAAGAUGGGAUUAAGUGUUAAUACCACUUAGUCUUGACAUUAACUACAGAAGAAGCACCGGCUAACUCCGUGCCAGCAGCCGCGGUAAUACGGAGGGUGCAAGCGUUAAUCGGAAUUACUGGGCGUAAAGAGUACGUAGGCGGCUUUUCAAGUCGGAUGUGAAAUCCCUGAGCUUAACUUAGGAACUGCAUUCGAUACUGAAUCGCUAGAGUUUAUUAGAGGAUAGUGGAAUUUCAAGUGUAGCGGUGAAAUGCGUAGAUAUUUGAAGGAACACCAAUGGCGAAGGCAGCUAUCUGGAGUAAUACUGACGCUGAGGUACGAAAGCGUGGGGAGC